CUAUACAUGCAAGUCGAGCGAGAUGUUAGCGCAUGAACCUUCGGGGGAUUAUGCUAACGGAAAGCGGCGGACGGGUGAGUAACGCGUAGGCAACCUGCCCCUGACAGAGGGAUAGCCAUUGGAAACGAUGAUUAAAACCUCAUGACACCGUAGAAGCACAUGCUUCAUCGGUCAAAGAUUUAUCGGUCAGGGAUGGGCCUGCGUCUGAUUAACUAGUUGGUGAGGUAACGGCUCACCAAGGUGACGAUCAGUAGCCGACCUGAGAGGGUGAUCGGCCACAUUGGAACUGAGACACGGUCCAAACUUCUACGGAAGGCAGCAGUAGGGAAUCUUGCACAAUGGGCGAAAGCCUGAUGCAGCAACGCCGCGUGAAGGAUGAAGGCCUUCGGGUUGUAAACUUCUGUUCUAAGGGAAGAAACAAAUGACGGUACCUUAGGAGCAAGCCCCGGCUAACUACGUGCCAGCAGCCGCGGUAAUACGUAGGGGCAAGCGUUAUCCGGAAUUAUUGGGCGUAAAGAGUGCGUAGGUGGUUACCUAAGCGCAAGGUUUAAUUUAGAGGCUCAACCUCUACUUGCCUUGCGAACUGGGCUACUUGAGUGCAGGAGGGGAAAGCGGAAUUCCUAGUGUAGCGGUGAAAUGCGUAGAUAUUAGGAGGAACACCAGCGGCGAAGGCGGCUUUCUGGACUGUAACUGACACUGAGGCACGAAAGCGUGGGUAGCAAACAGGAUUAGAUACCCUGGUAGUCCACGCCGUAAACGAUGAGCACUAGGUGUUGGGCCCGUUAGGGCUCAGUGCCGCAGUUAACGCAAUAAGUGCUCCGCCUGGGGAGUACGCUCGCAAGAGUAAACUCAAAGGAAUUGACGGGGACCCGCACAAGCAGCGGAGCUGUGGUUUAAUUCGAAGCAACGCGAAGAACCUUACCCGGGCUUGACAUCCUG
rnacentral:rRNA from 1 species